GUCAUGAAUUCUGAAAGACAGAGAUAAUUAGUGUUUUUCCUAAUCAAUAUACAUGCACGGGGAUUUUCCUGUCUGGAAUCCCAUACAGUCUUACCGUCUUUACAGGACAAACCUUUGAUUUGUCCUUUCCACUGCCAGGGUUCCUGGAUGAGAACUGCCCAUAGAUGUUGUGCAGUGAACAUCCUAGCUAUUACUGCCGAUUUAAAACCAUCGUCUCUAGUCGUCCGACAUCGCGGUUGACAACUACUUUCAUUGUUUCAUCAAAGAAAACAAUUUGGAAAAAAAAAAUACAAACGAUUAACUCACUCAACAAGUUAGCUUUGGAAAACAAUAUUUUUCAAGAACAGUAACUAUUAUCAAAAUAAGAGCCCACUAACUCCAAAUGGUCAAAGGUGAUAGAGUACUAUGGAAGUCGACUAACUCCAUAUGAAAGGAUUGAAAUCCUCACCUUUGAAAAAAUAUGGUAUCAAGUAUUAGGAGGUGCAAGAUCAAAGGAGAUAAGACGCUGAUCGAAAUGGUAGAUACGAUGACAAAAAUUGAAGCUUUAGAAAGAUACUAUUCGGUCAUUUAUGUUACUGGUAUGAAAUUCUUUAAAAUCAUUGGAAAAAGUGGUUUGGUAGCUAAGUCAUAAGUGCGUUCGAUCAUAAAACAUAUCAAUACAUCGCCAGAAAAAUAAUUAGAGAUAAGAAGCAGUUUCACCACCAGCUGUUGUUGAAGUCAAAAUUCUUGACCACAUGAGACAGAAGGACCAAGAUUCACCUCUCAAUGUAGUGCAUAUACUUGAUUAUUUUUAUUUCCGGAAUCAGUUACGUAUCAUUUUUGAGUUAAUGAAGUAAUGAUUAUUCGGAAAUCGUGAGAAGUGAGGCUAUAAAAGUGUCUUCCUCCCAAUAGUAAGUUAUGGUGAAGCCGGGUGGGCCAAACGACUACCUAGCAAAAGCAAAGCUAUAAUAGAGCAAAGCCAACGAAUAGCUCUUAUAAGAACCACAAAAGGGUACAGGACGAUUUCAACACAUGCCCUACAAGUAAUAGCCAACGCACCGCCAAUAGACCUAGUCCUAAAAGAAAGGGUGGCCAAAAAAAGAAAAAUGAGGCUAUUGAUAGAGGAGCAAGCCAAGGAGAAAUAGACUGGAUCCGAAGCACGGGGAAGGAGGCAAAAGAGUACUUGGGAAGAAUGACAAGGGCAUCAUGGCAAGAAAGAUGGACAAAUAGCAAUAAAGAUCGGCUAACAUCCAAAUUUUUCCCAAGCGUUGAAAAAAGA